UACGUAGGGGGCAAGCGUUGUCCGGAUUUACUGGGCGUAAAGGGUGCGUAGGCGGCUUUUUAAGUUUGGUGUGAAAUCUCCUGGCUCAACUGGGAGGGUGCGCCGAAUACUGAGAAGCUAGAGUGUGGGAGAGGAAAGUGGAAUUCCUGGUGUAGCGGUGAAAUGCGUAGAUAUCAGGAGGAACACCGGUGGUGUAAACGGCUUUCUGGACCAUAACUGACGCUGAGGCACGAAAGCGUGGGUAGCAAACAGG
rnacentral:rRNA from 1 species